rnacentral:rRNA from 1 species
UACGGGAGGCAGCAGUGGGGAAUAUUGCACAAUGGGCGCAAGCCUGAUGCAGCCAUGCCGCGUGUAUGAAGAAGGCCUUCGGGUUGUAAAGUACUUUCAGUCGUGAGGAAGGUGUUAAGGUUAAUAACCUUAGCAAUUGACGUUAGCGACAGAAGAAGCACCGGCUAACUCCGUGCCAGCAGCCGCGGUAAUACGGAGGGUGCGAGCGUUAAUCGGAAUUACUGGGCGUAAAGGGCACGCAGGCGGUUAAUUAAGUUGGAUGUGAAAUCCCCGGGCUUAACCUGGGAAUGGCAUUCAAGACUGGUUAGCUAGAGUCUUGUAGAGGGGGUAGAAUUCCAUGUGUAGCGGUGAAAUGCGUAGAGAUGUGGAGGAAUACCGGUGGCGAAAGGCGGCCCCUGGACAAAGACUGACGCUCAUGUGCGAAAGCGUGGGGAGCAAAC